GAGGUCUUAGCUUAAGUGUUAAAGUGGCUGAGUUGCAUUCAUUUGAUGUACAGUAUGUACAGACCUUC
rnacentral:tRNA from 1 species